rfam:Triticum aestivum genome assembly, contig: Triticum_aestivum_CS42_TGACv1_scaffold_080234_1DS
UUUGUACUCUCUUCGUCCGAAAAUACUUGUCGGAGAAAUAGAUGUGUCUAGAUGUAUUUUAGUUCUAGAUACAUCUAUUUUUUAGACAAGUAUUUCCGGACGGAGGAAGUAUUAA